rnacentral:rRNA from 1 species
AGCCAUGCAUGUCUAAGUACAAAUUGUGGUAAAAUGAAACUGCGAAUGGCUCAUUAAAUCAGCUACGGUUCACUGGGUAAACCACAGUUACUUGGAUAACUGUGGUAAUUCUAGAGCUAAUACAUGCAAUUAUGCCCGCGCCUCACGGCAAGGGUGCUCUUAUUAGAUCAAAACCAACCUGGCUUCGGCUAGAAGUUUUGAUGACUCUGGAUAAUUGGGAGAUCGCAGGACUCAAUGUCGGCGACUCACCCUUCAAAAGUCUGCCCUAUCAACUAUAGAUGGUAUAUAACCUGUGUACCAUGGUGUUCACGGGUAACGGGGAAUCAGGGUUCGAUUCCGGAGAGGGAGCCUGAGAAACAGCUACCACAUCCAAGGAAGGCAGCAGGCGCGCAAAUUACCCACUCUCAAAACGAGGAGGUAGUGACAAAAAAUAACGAUGCGGGACUCAAUCGAGGCCCCGUAAUCGGAAUGAGAACAAUUUAAAUCCUUUAACGAGGAUCAAUUGGAGGGCAAGUCUGGUGCCAGCAGCCGCGGUAAUUCCAGCUCCAAUAGCGUAUAUUAAAGUUGUUGCAGUUAAAAAGCUCGUAGUUGGAUCUAAGGAUUUGAAUUAACGGUUUACCUUAUGGUGAUACUGUUGGAUCUGCCUAAAAAUGUCGUGGAGGCUAUUAGUGUUCUUAAUUGAGUGCUUUUAGUGCCCGACGCUAUUACUUUGAGAAAAUUAGAGUGCUUAAAGCAGGCAUAAUGCUUGUAUACUGUUGCAUGGAAUAAUAAAAUAAGAGUUUGCUUUUAUUUUGUUGGUAUUCGGAAGUGAACUAAUGAUUGACGGGG